AUGCCCCUCUGUGGGGGAUAGCCGCUUGAAAAAGCGAUUAAUACCCCAUAGGAAGCUUUAUCCAUGAUUUAGCUUUUAAAGCCUUCGGGCGCUGAGGGAUUGGGAUAUGCUCUAUUAGCUAGUUGGCGGGAUAAAAGCCCACCAAGGCAAUGAUAGAUAGCUGGUCUUAGAGGAUGAACAGCCACCAAUGGGAUUGAGAUACGGCCCAUAUUCCUACCGGAAGCAGCAGUAGGGAAUCUCCCAGAAGGAACGAAAGUCUGAUGGAGCAAUACCAU
rnacentral:rRNA from 1 species